UGCACACGCCAUAACAAUAACAGUGCGGUAGAGUUCAGUAAUGCUAAUGCUAACCCCAUACCAUGGCGAUUUGAAUGGGUAGUGAAUGUGAUGCGUCGGCUCCCCAAACCAACGUAAAAAAGAACUGUGGUUCUUUAAAGAUGGAAUGGCUGUCGGAGUAUGUGCAAAUAGAAGACCAAGCGGUGAAACUGGGCACAGAGAGCAAAGUGAAGUCUGCAUAGCGUUGGGCUUUGUCUGCCUUCUCAGAGGAUGUCACACUGGCACAAAAGAGACCACAAUGAGAGGGGUCGUGUGGUGCUGGCGCCAAUCCCAGGUAUCAUCGGGCAAGAGGUGGGCUACACUCCAAACUGGUUGCCAGCCAAGUGCAGGGCACAUAGAGACAGACAACAGUCGCACUAACAAUCGCACCUAUGGACAAUUUAAAGUAAUGCAUGUUUUUGAGGAUGUGGGAGGAAACUGGAGUGCCUGGAGAAAACCCACGCAGGCACGGGGAGAACAUGAAAACUCCACACAAGCGGGGCUGGGAUUUGAAUCUCGGACCUCAGAACUGUGAGGCCAACUGUCUAACCAGUUGCACCACCAUACUCCCUCCUAGUUUAUCUCAAUGUGUUUAGCUUUUUUUUUUUUUUUAAAGAGGUUUGAGAAGAUUGAAUUAUCUUUUAAAUUUCUUACUGAAAUUGGCCGUGAUUACAUGUGUGCCGAGGCUGCGGCCCAGCCUCAGCCGGUUGCUCCUUCAAGCGGCCCCGAGGAAAAUUGAAUUUGAGACCCCUUUCAUAGGAUGAGAAGCUUGGUCAACCGUGAGGGGCUCAGUGUUGAGCCG